ACAGAAAUGUUCAUACUCACCGGUGUGAUAACCUCAAAUCUUACACGAUUCUAUUUACGUUUAAAAUAAAUCUGGAUAAAAUCGAGCAUCUCUAAUCUUUAUUAUAAAAUUCUGAAUUUACGCCUACAUUAAAAGUAACCUAUAUAAUGUAAAGACAAAAUGGUAGCGCUUAAAUCGACAACGUGUUGCAGAACCGAGUGGUUGAGCUAAUUAUUUCCUUCGAUUUAAAACCCAUGGUUACUGUUCCGUUCAUACGCUAGAAAUGGACUCGCACCAGCUUUCGGUAGCGUUGAGUGGUCAAACUGUGUAUGGUAGUUCAACUUCCUGCUAUUUUAAUGCUUUCUUAGAAAGUGUUGGCAGCAUGAUAGUUGUUCCGCUAGGAGCCACACCUGCAAAUGAUGCAACAGGAUUUUCAUAUUUGUCUUCGGGUGUGGUGGAAGGGCACUUCGCCCUCAGGCCAUGGGGAAAUCUAGCCCAUUCAACCAGCGAAGUGAACCAAAGGAAAACCAGCCAGCAGCAAGGACCUCUGAAACGUCGGUGACCUCCUACAAGGCUACAGAGCGCAACAACCCAGAAGACUUGACUGAUACAGUUUUUGUGCAUGUGGGCCUGGACAUGGACGAUCGAGGUUCAGCUCCUGACAGAGGCAGAGGAUUUUCUUCUAGCCUCUGCUUUCAGACUGGCCAGUGGGUACUGAGGCCCUUUCCCGUAAGUGCCAACAUAGGCACGUAACUGGAUGGCUUUACUUUACUUUCAAUAUUAUACAUAUGUAUGCGGGCCAUGGAUCGAAAACCCCUGGAUCAUGGGAAAUAAGCUGAAGUGAGGCAAUGGCGUAUAUGAAAUUGCAUCAGAGUAUGUCAAACAACUGAAUUAAAUGUACACAAAAGUUUAUUUAAGCCCCCAAGUAAAGAGGCCUUAAAUUGAAAGUGAAUGAAGGUAUACAUUAUCGAGUUUCGUCGAAAUCAGCCCAGCUUUUUAAAAUGGACGAUCUUACAUGAAACAAAUAGGUGGUGCAGGUCCGAACAUUUUGUUCGAAAAACGUUUUCUGCGCGUGGCCAGUAAUAAUUAAAAAUCGGUAAAAAUUGAGUUCAACAACAAAAUUUGUGGGGAAAAUUUAUCGACACUUGGAUUGCCUACGGAAUAUGUAGAAAAACAAUGCAUUCACGUGGGUGGGCCACGACACGGUGAUGGCUUGGCAUGGAUGUUCUCCGCCGGUCUGAAGCGAGAGGUACGUACGUACAAGUGCUGCAGUGAGUGAGGUUUUCUCCCCGCGGAGACAAGUCGUACUGUGGCACGGGCUACAUUAUUCACAACACUGCGCCGUGAAAUCAAUCCGGUGUGCGGCCUGUCAUGACAAACGUCUGCUUCAAAGAACGCCUCGCUCCUCCUUUGUCACCGCGAGUCGUUGGGCUCGGUCCCCUAGCAGGUGGCUGAAAUUUUACGUGCGAACGCUAGGAUAAUUCCUUUAAAAUAGACAUUGCAGCUGCUGCUUCCUUUCAUUUCAAUAUUUGCAACCGUAAUCCCACUGGGCGCCGUAUGAGCUAUAAAACUGAGAGAGCACCGUUAAAUAAACCAAGAAGUAAGAAAGGUUACGUUUUUCUCUCACUUGUUACAGUAAGUAGUCUAAUCUGUCGUUCUACACACAGCCAAUAUUUUCAUGGCUAUUCCACAGCCUGUUUGAUCACUGGACGAUCAAUAACAGACAAAAAAAAUAGAAGGAAAGAUUGUGUGUUCGUGGCUUUGUAAUAUGAAUCCAACAGUUGGUACCUUACACAAAUGGUUGAUGUGUGUGUAGUGAAGUUGCGCUACAGAUCUUACGGUAAAACGUUUUGUUUCGCUUUUGUCCGUUUCUGUUUCGUUUUGUUGUUUGUUCUAUUCAGAUAUUUGUUUUAGUACAUGGAGUGUAAAGUGUAGAAAAAUUCAAAUGUACAUUCAGUAUCAUUAUUCGUCAUGUAAACUGAACGUGAAAGUAUGGACGCAGAAUUGUUAAUACUAUUAAUGCACAAAUAAUUACUUUCCAGAAUGAAUGAAUAAAUACCCUUGCGCCGAU